rnacentral:rRNA from 1 species
AGAGUUUGAUCAUGGCUCAGGAUGAACGCUAGCGGCAGGCCUAACACAUGCAAGUCGAGGGGUAGAAGGCUUUGGCCUUUGAGACCGGCGCACGGGUGCGUAACGCGUAUGCAAUCUGCCUUGUACUAAGGGAUAGCCCAGAGAAAUUUGGAUUAAUACCUUAUAGUAUAAUGAUGUGGCAUCACAUUAUUAUUAAAGAUUUAUCGGUACAAGAUGAGCAUGCGUCCCAUUAGCUAGUUGGUAUGGUAACGGCAUACCAAGGCAAUGAUGGGUAGGGGUCCUGAGAGGGAGAUCCCCCACACUGGUACUGAGACACGGACCAGACUCCUACGGGAGGCAGCAGUGAGGAAUAUUGGUCAAUGGUCGCAAGACUGAACCAGCCAUGCCGCGUGCAGGAUGAAGCAUCUAUGGUGUGUAAACUGCUUUUGUACGGGAAGAAACACCUCUUCGUGAAGAGGCUUGACGGUACCGUAAGAAUAAGGAUCGGCUAACUCCGUGCCAGCCGCCGCGGUAAUAC